rnacentral:rRNA from 1 species
UACGUAGGGACCAAGCGUUGUUCGGAUUUACUGGGCGUAAAGGGCGCGUAGGCGGCGUGACAAGUCACUUGUGAAAUCUCCGGGCUUAACUCGGAACGGUCAAGUGAUACUGUCGGACUAGAGUACAGAAGGGGCAACUGGAAUUCUCGGUGUAGCGGUGAAAUGCGUAGAUAUCGAGAGGAACACCUGCGGCGAAGGCGGGUUGCUGGGCUGAUACUGACGCUGAGGCGCGAAAGCCAGGGGAGCGAACGGG